GUAGGUGAACCUGCGGAAGGAUCAUUACAGAGAACUUGCCCCUUGGGGUAGAUCUCCACCCUUUGUUUACUAUACCUUUGUUGCUUUGGCAGGCCUGUCUUUUGACUACCGGCAUCAGCUGGUCAGUGCCUGCCAGAGGACCCUAAACUCUUGAUUUGUAUUGUCCGAGUAUUACAUAAUAGUUAAAACUUUCAACAACGGAUCUCUUGGUUCUA
rnacentral:misc_RNA from 1 species